AUUUUGGAGGACUCUUAACUGCAACGGAGGAAACUACGGACUCCCUGCAAUAGCGGGGGUUACAGAAUAAACAACAACCCCGCAAAGCCCAGCCCGCCCCGACGCAACAAGUCGAUCGGACUCCGGGGAGCCCUUUACACACAAAAGCAGAGUUCCCCCCCCCCGUCAGGUUGCUUCGGAUUUCGAUUGGACAGGCGGAGACAGCCUGCGUUUUGAUUGGCCAGUUCCAGUAUGACUGGCAGAAGAAUGAUGGAAAAGCUGUACCAGAAGAGUCCAGGCGAAGUGCUUUCCAGCUGUAGUCCCCAAUUCUGCUUCAUGACAAUUACAUGAGUUACAUCGACACAUCUGGAAGACAUUUCAUUGCCUAAGAUUGGUUUGUUUAGUCCAAGAUUUUGUUCCCAAGAUAACCAACCAGCUGCCCGUAAUAUCUGUCAUCUAUAAAUGCAGAAGUUCCC